ACAUCUGUGGACAGAGAAUUUACCAAAGCAACGUAUUCUGAUUCAGAGCAGAGCCCCAGCCUGGACCAGGAGGAGAGCUGGAGGUACAGCACCUCUCCAGAUGCAGGGGAGGCCCGGCUCUUGGAGAGGCACAAGGGGGCCAAGACAGGGACAGACCCUUGGCCAGGUCCUUGGCGCUUCCCCUGGAGCCCCAUUCUCACUUAUGCCAACGUCACCAGGAGACAGAGGCGCCAGCCCUGGCCACCCGUUUGGAACAGGAUAUGAGGCAGAACUGCUAUUCUGUGUGUGACAUCAGGAGACUUGGCAGGUGAACAGAGUCCCAGCCAGUCUCGUGGAACAGGACCUCAGGAUUUCUGAGUGGUGAUCCCUUUGGCGGCAGAGGCCUCAAAUGACUGUGGUACAGAGAAUGUGCCCACCAGCUGUGUCACCAGGAAAGAUGAUGACCUGGGAUGGAGCGACUGGCCCAGGUGUUAAGGGCUAAUUCUAAAGGAGGACACCUGUCAUUCCUGGAACUCAUUUUGGACAGUUCUGGAAUUUCAAUCAAGGAAAGCUCUGUGUGUGUGUGUGUUGGGGUGAGGGUGGGCGCUUCUCCUGGAGAGAGGAGUUGGGAACCAACCUCUUCCAUCAAGGUACCUUGGGCAAGCGCCUGGUGCACACUUCCUGGAUAGAUGCAGCCUUCUGGUUUGCACUGUUUACUUCAUUUCCCCAUUCAUAGAAGGAGUUUAUAUAGUUCUCAAAGUGCCCCAGUUUGCUGGGAAAUACCUGCUAAGGGCUUUUGCCCAAAGCCCAUGGGGAAAGCAUGUUUUGGUAUCUUUCUGCACUCUUCCUAUGCAACCCAAACAGUUAUACAUUCCUUUAAAACAAUUUUUCUUUUGUACUUAACACAUUGUUCUAGUGAUUAUGUGAAGAGAAAAUAAGAUGAGAAUAUUAAGAAGAAUGAAGUAGUAGAUCCAGCUUGAUCAGAUCUUAAGACAGAUCACCACCAUCAUGAUAAAAAUUAAACCACAUGAAUGUGCAAAUGCACAAAAGAAAUAGACCUGGAAAAUCCUUGGCACCAUGUGACAGGGGACAUAUGGCAGAGGGAAGAUCUCACAGGUACAACUAGGGGAGGGAGGGAGCAAGAGAAAGAGGGAGAGAGACAGAGAGACAGAGAGAGAGAGUGACAGCGAGAGACAGAGACAGAGAGACAGAGGAGACAAAGACAGAGACAGAGAGACAGAGAAACACACACACACAGAAGGAGACACCGAGGAAAGGAGACACCAACAGAGAAACCAGAUAGAAACAAAGUUUAAAAAAUCCUCUGCUCUAAAAUCUAAUUUAUGAACUACUUCUUUAUGUGCUUUCAUUUCUAAUCUUCCUGUCCUCUUCAUGAUAGAAUAGUCUUGUAGGUUAUGACUUUUUCUAUUGUAAAUGAAAAGGGAAUUUCCUGGGAAGUGAAUAGUCUUGUUUCAGAUUCUCUCAAGCUUCAGUGCCUCACAAUUAGAGAAUUAAUGAAGAAUGCAAUGAAGUGAAUAAAUGACAUUAUUUACAACUUUGAAUUCUGGUUCCUUCUUUCCUCUUUGGAGAAGAAAUGAGGUUUAAAGAUUCAACUGAAAUGAGUCCCCCCACCUUGUAGGAAAAGAUUCCUCCAGGCCCAUAACUGGGUUGAGCCAUUUCUCUUGAAG
rnacentral:lncRNA from 1 species